rnacentral:rRNA from 1 species
UGGGGAAUUUUGGACAAUGGGCGAAAGCCUGAUCCAGCAAUGCCGCGUGUGUGAAGAAGGCCUUCGGGUUGUAAAGCACUUUUGUCCGGAAAGAAAUCCUUGGCUCUAAUACAGUCGGGGGAUGACGGUACCGGAAGAAUAAGCACCGGCUAACUACGUGCCAGCAGCCGCGGUAAUACGUAGGGUGCAAGCGUUAAUCGGAAUUACUGGGCGUAAAGCGUGCGCAGGCGGUUUGCUAAGACCGAUGUGAAAUCCCCGGGCUCAACCUGGGAACUGCAUUGGUGACUGGCAGGCUAGAGUAUGGCAGAGGGGGGUAGAAUUCCACGUGUAGCAGUGAAAUGCGUAGAGAUGUGGAGGAAUACCGAUGGCGAAGGCAGCCCCCUGGGCCAAUACUGACGCUCAUGCACGAAAGCGUGGGGAGCAAACAGGAUUAGAUACCCCCGGUAGUCCACGCCCUAAACGAUGUCAACUAGUUGUUGGGGAUUCAUUUCCUUAGUAACGUAGCUAACGCGUGAAGUUGACCGCCUGGGGAGUACGGUCGCAAGAUUAAAACUCAAAGGAAUUGACGGGGUC